rnacentral:rRNA from 1 species
GACGAACGCUGGCGGCGUGCUUAACACAUGCAAGUCGAACGGAAAGGCCCUGCUUUUGUGGGGUGCUCGAGUGGCGAACGGGUGAGUAACACGUGAGUAACCUGCCCUUGACUUUGGGAUAACUUCAGGAAACUGGGGCUAAUACCGGAUAGGAGCUCCUGCUGCAUGGUGGGGGUUGGAAAGUUUCGGCGGUUGGGGAUGGACUCGCGGCUUAUCAGCUUGUUGGUGGGGUAGUGGCUUACCAAGGCUUUGACGGGUAGCCGGCCUGAGAGGGUGACCGGCCACAUGGGGACUGAGAUACGGCCCAGACUCGUACGGGAGGCAGCAGGGGGGAAUAUUGCACAAUGGGAGGAAGCCUGAUGCAGCAACGCCGCGUGCGGGAUGACGGCCUUCGGGUUGUAAACCGCUUUCGCCUGUGACGAAGCGUGAGUGACGGUAAUGGGUAAAGAAGCACCGGCUAACUACGUG